rnacentral:lncRNA from 1 species
CAUCUUGCAGCAAUGCCAGAUCCUUAACCCACUCACUGAGCGAGGCCAGGGACCAAAUCCACAUCCUCACUGACACUAUGUGAGGUUCUUAACCCACUGAGCCGCAGCAGGAAUUCCUUGUGUGUGCUGCUUUAAUUUGUAAAUGUGGUAAAUGGUAACAGUUUCUGAUAUUAAACCUCCCUUAUAUUUGAAGGAUAAAUUCAAUUUUGUCAUGAUAUCAUCUUAUAUCUCAUUGCAUUUGGUUUGUAAAUUCUGGAUUUUUGCACCUACCGUCAUAAGAGAUAAUCUUGAGAUGCUUCCUUUCCUGUAUUGUCCAUAUUUUUUUUGAUUUCAAAAUUAUCUUGGCCUCAUCAAUUGAUAUUUCUUCUUUUCAGUUCUUGGAAAUGUUUGCAUAGAGUUGUAGUCAUCUGAACCUUAAAUGUUUGGUGAAAUUUACCUGGAAAACUAUUAAGGACGGAGUUUACUUUGUGAGAAAAUCUUCAACCACUAAUUCCCUUAAUGUGUUGUUUUUUUCUCAUCCUGUGGAAAUUUUGCCUCCCAGGGGUCACAUGACACUGUCUGGAGACAUUUCAGGUUGUCACAUGUCACAGAUGGUAUCUAGCUGUGCUUAUAAACAUCUAAAUGCCCAGACAGUUGCCCCUGUUACACUAAUCAAGAGGUAUCUGAUCCACAUGUAGUGGCAAAAUUGACAAACCCUGAAUUAACUAAUAUUAGAAGAUUUUCAUUGCAUUAUUUUGGAAUGUUAUGGUUUUCUGUCAAUUUGACCAUUUAUCUAGAGUUUCCAAUAAAUCAACAUGAAGCUUUUUUCAUGGUAUUCUCUAAAUUAGCAUUUUAAGCAAAAUUGAGAAAGCCUGGAGAAUAAAUACAUCAUAUUCGUACUGCAAUACUAUUUUAAACACUAGUGGAAUUUUUUAUUUAUUUUUAACACAAAGGUUUAUUUUGAUUAAAGCAAAACAUCUUGAAGAAUACAGUAAUGAGAAAGCAAAAUACUUGGAGAUAAAGAUUCACAAUUAACCACUAUGAAAAUACAUUCAUGUAUAUCUACCCUAGAAUGCAGGCCACUUUGGGGUAGUUUUGUUUAUUACAGUUCUUUGUACAAAUGUAUUCUGAAAGGCAGUUUAUUUUCUAAAUCAACUAAAAACACAAAAUUGAUAAUUUACAACAAAUAUUUCAAUUAUUUUAGUAAUUCUCAUUAGUGAGUAAAUGGUUAAACUGUGUGACAUUUAAGCUGACCUUUAAAGAAAGUUUUUAAAACCUAAGCAAAGAGUGAACUUAAGUCCAAUGUCAUUUAUAGAAAUAUGUAUUAUAAUUCUAUCAUUGUAGAUAUAUAAAUUCAACUCAAAUGAAAAAUAAAACAGCUAAACAGUAGGACUUAGAAAUUAACUGGCUUCAAUCUAUUAAAUAUACACUAUUUUUCCUAUAAAAAUAUACCUUUAUAAAAAUAAAACUCCCACCAUCAUAAAACACAUUACUUGACUUCAGGGGAGAAAAAAUGACAUUGUUUUUUGGUCCUGUCUGCCAUUUUUUUAAAAGGACUUCAGGAAAGAGAAUGCAGACAUUGCUUUGACCACCAUGACAAUGAAGUAAGCCAUUGAAUACCAUGCACUUUCACACAAUAUAGUAGCAAUUAUAAGGGAGAGUAUUCUCCAAUUAGACAAUACUCAUUGCAGUCACCAUUCAACUAGACCUGAUCGCCCCUCUAUGGGCUUCAGCAGAGGUACUGAGAUGCAAAGCAAACACCUAGUGAUUCAAGUAUCAAUCUUGAUAAGUAACAAAACUGUAUAGUUUAGAUUAAAAUAGGAUCAUGAAUAACAAAUGGAUCUACAUAUAGUUUUAACUAAAACUGGCUCCCACAAAUGCAAAUAAUAAGCAAAGAAUGUAACAACUUGGGAUAAUUUUCAAUGGACCCGUCUGUCUCUCUGAGACAAUGGUGAAUUACUUAACCACCCUUGAACUACCAUCUAUCUUUCUGAACUGAAUCUUCUUUUUCUGUGCAUUCCUUGCUCCUCCAUCACUCAGCAUUCCUAAGUCUUGGUUCACAGUAAUCUGCAACACUCCAGAAUGGUUUGUGAUAAUCCAGUCCUCUCUGUCCUGUGUCAUCACUGAUGAUGACUUUAGUCUUUGCCUAAAACUGUUCAGUCUUUGAAGAACAGACUUCAUGAACCACAUUUUUGUCACUUGAGCUAUUUCUGUACUUUAUUGCUAAUUGUUCCAGCCAGGCUAAUGCUGGAGGUGUAACUCUCCUUCAACAUGUUCUGAGGGAAAAAAAUAUCUGCUGAAAAAUGCCUGUAAAUAUCUGUGAAUAACUUUCGGGGUUGUGAGGUGUCUUAGGUGGUUUUCUUAGUUUUGGUGAAUACUGAGCAAUCUUUGGUCAUGGUGUCACCUGGAAGACUUUCCCUUUAUUACUAAUAAGGUUUUUACAGUCUCUCCCCUCAAACCCCAGCCAUUUCUUAGAACGUAUGGUGCAGGAGAUUUCAGAGCUUCACAGACUGCUUUUAACGAUCAACCAAGUGAAUUAACUUUUAGUUGAUGGGAAUGUAAAUAGGUGCAACUACUAUGGAGGACAGUAUGGAGAUUCCUUAAAAAAUUAAAUAUAGCACUACCAUAUGACCCAGCAAUCCCAUUCCUGGACAUAUGUCUGGAGAAAACCAUAACUUAAAAGAAUACAUACACCCCAAUGUUCAUUACAGCACUAUUUACAAUAGGAAAGACAGGUAAGAAACAUAUAUUUCCAUCAACAGAGGACUGGAUAAAGAAGAUGUGCUACUUAUAUACGAUGGAAUAUUAUUCGGCCCUAAAAAAGAGAAUGAAGUAAUGCCAUUUGUAGCAAUAUGGUUGGACCUAGAGAUUAUCUUAGUAAGCGAAGGAAAUCAGACAGAGAAAGACAAAUAUCAUAUGAGAUCACUAAUAUGUAGAAUCUAAUAAAAAUGAUACAAAAGAACUUAUUCACAAAACAGAAACAGACUCAAAGAUUUCCAAACCAAACUUAUGGUAACUGAAGGGGAAAUGUUGGGGGGAGGGAUAAAGUGGAAGGUUGGGAGUGACAUAUACAAACUACUAUAUACAAAAUUGAUAAGUAACAAGGACCUACUAUAUAGCACAGAAAAAUCUACUCAAUACUCUGUGAUGGCUUAUGUGGGAAAAGAAUCUGAAAAAAAAAGGAUAUAUGCGUAUGUAUAACUGAUUCACCUUGCUGUACACCUGAAGCUAACACAACACAUUUAAGUUAGCUAUACUCCAAAAAUAUUAAAAAGAAAACUUUUCGAAGCACCAUGAGCAUUUGAUGUACUAUAGAAUAUUAGUGCCCUUUUAAUUUUUAGAUUUAGAAGAAAAGUAUAUCCCCCAGACCUGAAAUUGGCAACUCAAUGAGAGCCCAACUCCUGAACAUUGUAUAUCUUGGGGGAUUUUAACGGUAUACAAUUUAUAGGAAAUACGUACAUACAAAAUAUAUUAUACAAUACCAUGAGCAAAUAUGCUACUGUGAUGUUAACAUAUCCCAAAUAGAUGUGAACAGUCUUAAUGUCUUUAUUUAUUUAUUUAUUUAUUUAUUUUUGCACAUUGUGGAUUCUCAAUGCAUAACUUUUUUUUUUUUUUAAUUUUCCCACUGUACAGCAAGGGGGUCAGGUUAUCCUUACAUGUAUACAUUAAUGUCUUUAAAUAUCUUACACAAACUACAUCAGUUUUUUAUAUGAGAUAAAAUUAACUCAUCAUAGAUAAUAAAAUGGAAUAUAAAUUAUAGCAAAGAGUCAUAGGGAGGCAGUUCACUCACUGUCCAAGCUAGAUAAUUAGCUAAGCCUUCUUGGGAAUGAAAGUAAAUGCAAAUUGUUGAAACAUGAGGACUAAAAAACUUACACAGUGAUUCAAAUGUCCCUAUAUCUUCACAUCUAAUAAUUACAAAAUGGAAUAAUGUCUAUUACUGGGUCAUUCUUCUUGGACUUCAAUUACCUGUAUCUAAAAGAAAAUAUUUUAAAGAAUAUCCAACAAGUGUACUUUUUACCCUGAAUUACUGAAAUUCUAGUUUUCCUCAAUAUUUUCUUUAAUGUAAUUUUGAAAUCAUUUUAAAUAUUCUGCAAGAUGGAUUUAUUCAAUUUAUACUUGAAAAAUGUACAUACGGAAGUUGCACCAGAAGUCUGAACAUGCAUUUUAAAAUAUUUCAGAAGCAAAACCAGAUAGAAUAAGUUCACAUGAAUAUUCAUGAUGUGAAUACUAACUAUUGAGGGAUUCCUGUAUUUCUCUUUGAAAUUUCAUCUAACUUAAAUGUUAUACUUUUUAUGCUAUGGAAACUAUAAAACAUCUGUAAGGUAAUCAAUGCUUUUAAUAACUCUAAGUAUAAGCAGUUAGGCUUGUUUGAUGCAGGUUGUGAUAUACUGUAACAUAGCAAUGUUGUCAUAGUGAAAUGUAUAUUGAGCCUUAAUACACUGGUAAGUACCACCAGACAUUUUCAUCUCUAAUGCAAGAAUAGAGGGGUUUUUUAAUUCCCCACCCACACUCAUACUUAUUUUUAAGUUUUCCCACAAGUAAAAUAAGAAUAACCAUUAAUAUAUAAGCAUCUGUUAAGGCUAAAAAAAAAACUAUAGUCCCUAAAAGAAAUGCUCAUUCAAACAGAGAAAGACUGUUUGAGAAAGACUGAUUCAAAUUGAGCUGACUGGAUUCAAUUCUCAAGGUAUAAAUAUUCUCUAGGAAUACGACAGCACAGCCAGAAGAAAAUCUUUUAUAUCCUAAUGAGUUU